rnacentral:rRNA from 1 species
AACGAACGCUGGCGGCAGGCUUAACACAUGCAAGUCGAGCGCCCCGCAAGGGGAGCGGCAGACGGGUGAGUAACGCGUGGGAACGUACCUUUUGGUUCGGAACAACUCCGGGAGACUGGAGCUAAUACCGGAUAAGCCCUAACGGGGAAAGAUUUAUCGCCGAAAGCUCGGCCCGCGUCUGAUUAGCUAGUUGGUGAGGUAACGGCUCACCAAGGCGACGAUCAGUAGCUGGUGUGAGAGGAUGAUCAGCCACACUGGGACUGAGACACGGCCCAGACUCCUACGGGAGGCAGCAGUGGGGAAUAUUGGACAAUGGGCGCAAGCCUGAUCCAGCCAUGCCGCGUGAGUGAUGAAGGCCUUAGGGUUGUAAAGCUCUUUUGUCCGGGAAGAUAAUGACUGUACCGGAAGAAUAAGCCCCGGCUAACUUCGUG